rnacentral:miRNA from 1 species
AUAAAUUACCUUAUCCUUGG